GACGAACGCUGGCGGCGUGCUUAACACAUGCAAGUCGAACGGAAAGGCCCCUUUGGGGGUACUCGAGUGGCGAACGGGUGAGUAACACGUGAGUAACCUGCCCUUGACUUCGGGAUAACUUCAGGAAACUGGGGCUAAUACCGGAUAGGAAUCCUUGCUGCAUGGUGGGGGUUGGAAAGCUUCGGCGGUUUUGGAUGGACUCGCGGCUUAUCAGCUUGUUGGUGGGGUAGUGGCUUACCAAGGCUUUGACGGGUAGCCGGCCUGUGAGGGCGACCGGCCACAUUGGGACUGAGAUACGGCCCAGACUCCUACGGGAGGCAGCAGUGGGGAAUAUUGCACAAUGGGCGGAAGCCUGAUGCAGCAACGCCGCGUGCGGGAUGACGGCCUUCGGGUUGUAAACCGCUUUCAGCAGGGGCGAAGCUUGUGGUGACGGUACCUGCAGAAGAAGCACCGGCUAACUACGUG
rnacentral:rRNA from 1 species